UUUUUUUUUUUUUUUUCCAUCUUAAGCACAAGACAUCUUCCUGGCAGGCAAAGCACCAGCCUAGUGUCUGUCACAGAGCAGGCCCUCAACAAGUUCCGUCGGGUCUGCGUCCUCCUGCCUCCCUCUGCAGGAUCCUACACCCCGCUGCCUCACUUUUUCCUCGGUCAGCACCCAGGACGGGGAGCCAGGGGUGGCUGGGGCUACCCGCCCCAUUCUGGAUGCCCAGAUUCAAGGAGGCAAUAACUGUUCGCAGGAUUCUCCGUGUCUCCUCCUCAUAACAGGACCUCCCAGCCCCCCGGCGCCCCCCCGCCAACGUUUCCAUCGCCCAUGUCUCUGGUGCCCUUCUAAGUGUUUCUCCAAGUCACUCCUUGGCUUCACCCUCCAGGGGUCCAGGAGCCACGGGAUGGAGACCCUGGCACUUCCCCCUGGACUCGGCUCCUUCCACGGGCCCAGCCCAUCUGUUUCCCACCUCCCUGCCUUUGCCAUAGUGCUGACCCUGCUCCUAGAGGCUGCUCCACGCUGCUUCCCUCGGGCUGCCUGGUGAACAACUGCCCGCCGUCCAAGAUUCAGCUCCGAUGGGCAUCCUCCUCUAGCCACCCCACAUCCUCUGGAGCCCGCGCCCACUCCCUCCUCUGCUCCCCCAGAGCAUCUUACACGCGUUUGUCUCAGUAGCACAGUGUCGUGAUGAGGAAACACAGAGUGGGCAGGGACAGGCCCGGGGAAGGCACAGAGGCGGAGCCAGCAGGGCCUCUCAGGCCCGACUCGGUCUCCGGGGAAGGGGCUCCAGGGCAUUUCGGUGGGGGAGGGGGUUCCCAGCUCAACGCUUUCCCCGCUUUCCCAAGAAGAGUCGACCCGACAGGACCUGCAAGACGGUGACGUGCUCACCACCCCCGGCCCCCUCCCCCACCCCCAAGGAAGACAGGAUGAAUCGUCCCCAGGUCGCCUGGUCACUGAGCCCAGGGGGAGGGGAAGGGCGCUCAGAAACGGCAGGUUUGGUCUCUCUGGGCGCCAGACUUCCCGCCGGGGCAGGGAGACCGAGGCAGGGUGGGGUUGGGGGAAGGCACUCGGUGAUGGGCCAGACGUGCAGUCUCUCUCCACCCAACUGGGUGGCCGUGUCCCUUUGCAAAGAUGGAGCGGCAGGUGUGUGUGGGGGGGGUCUCCAGGGUCUCAAGGUCUCACGUCCAACAAGUUGGGAGCCCUAACGCACGUCCAGGCCCGCUGCCUCUGACACUGGCGGAGGAUGGAGACACUGGAGAGGCCGAAUCUCGGGGGUGUGGGGGGUGGAAAGGGCUCAGGCCGCAGGUGAACGGUGCUUGGGGGGCUCGAGAGCCGGCGGACCGGUCCUGUGAGGGGAGCCCGGGGACCAAAAGGAUUUCACCAUGGUCCCGGUGCUCAGCCGGGGUCUUGAAUGGUGCAUGCGUGGGAAUGGGUCCGGAGGUCAAGGGGGCCGAGAGCAGAGGCAAAGGCCCGGAGGCAUCCGGGAGUGGGGGCUGCAGCCGAGGGCACGACUGUGGAGGAGACCCUCGGCGCUCCCUGCCGUCUUCCCUGACCACGGACCCCAGAAGCGAAGCCGUUUCCAGAUAACCAGAGUCAUAACCCCGGUAAGAACAUCGAGCGCUUGCAGCACAUGCUAGACUUCCGCCGCAGCACCUUCUAACACCAUCCAGCUUAAUCUGCGGGGCAACCUGGAGAUGAGUAUGCGGCUCAUCCCUUCUCCAAAGACAGAAACUGGGCCCAAAGAGGCUACGUAACACGGCCAGGGCACACACCUCUGUGCGUGGUGGGUCUGGAUCCGAAUCAGCUGCCAAGCCCCAGCAGGCAGCUCUGCGGGCCGACCACUGAGCCGCACUGCCUCUCCAGGCUGGACGCCGCCUUCCCUCCCCUGACGGCUCCGUCUCUGCUGCUUUCACCCGCCAGAGCGCAGGCACCUCUGGAGCAGGUGCCGCGUCUCAUUCUCCUCCUGGGGGGUCCCUCCACCCGCCCCCGCUACCGGCUCCCGCCACUCGGGGCCUUUGUAAAGGAGCUUGAGCGGCGCGUCAAGACCAGAAGAUUCCAGCAGGAGAAAGCCCUGGUCGCUGUCCACUUCCGGCUGGGAACCAAGAGUCUGUUGACUUAAUCAGGCAGAUGCAGAACAGGGUUGUCCUGGUGGCAAGGUUUCUAUUCCAGGAGGCCAGGCCGCAAUUAAAUGUCCCAACCUGCACACCUCCAAUGACUGCACGAGAGCUGGUUUCCCGGGCCUGAUAAGUAGCGAUGACAGACCCUUCGGCUGAAAUCCCGAAAUCACUCAGUAAAGGUCACCUUCUUCCUUCUUUUUCGGGCGGGAGGAGGGUGGGAUGAAAUUAGUGCCCAAAGUACAAGUGACACCCUCAUUUAAAACAGGUGCAUCCAAACAGCCAGUCCCCAGCAAAUGGCGUGGUCCUCCAGGCUUGUGAGCUGUUGUCACAGGGACUCUGCUGUGUGUGGAGCACCUGCUCCGGGCCAGGCACCGACCCAGGCUCUUAAACUGCGUUCACGAGUUAACACGUAUACCGAUGAGAUGACAAUGACACGAUGCUUUUACCCCUUUUAUAGAAGAAUAAACUGAGCUCCAGGGACGUUCAGUCAUCUUCUUAGCAUGACACAGUGCACGUGGAACAUUCAGGAUUUACAGCCAAGUCUGUGUGCCUCCGAAUAGCAGGUUCUUUCCAUUAAACAAGGUGGUCUCAAGGUAACAAACUUAGUUUGGGAUUCAGGACAAGGCUGGUUCUGUGCUUUACAGGGAGUCCUGAGACGCCCCUAAAUAUCCCCUUCUCCUGGCCUAUCUCUGGACAUCUCUGAAGGCGCAGUUGAGACAUGGGUCUCUUCCAGCCUCUGGAAU
rnacentral:lncRNA from 1 species